UAUNGGUCAAUGGCCGUAAGGCUGAACCAGCNAAUUCGCGUGAAGGAAGAAGGAUCUAUGGUUUGUAAAAUUCUUUUAUAGGGGAAUAAAAGUAUCCACGUGUGGAUAUUUGUAUGUACCCUAUGAAUAAGCAUCGGCUAACUCCGUGCCAGCAGCCGCGGUAAUACGGAGGAUGCGAGCGUUAUCCGGAUUUAUUGGGUUUAAAGGGUGCGUAGGCGGAAUGCCAAGUCAGCGGUAAAAUCGCGGGGCUCAACCUCGCUCCGCCGUUGAAACUGGCGUUCUUGAGUGGGCGAGAAGUAUGCGGAAUGCGUGGUGUAGCGGUGAAAUGCAUAGAUAUCACGCAGAACUCCGAUUGCGAAGGCAGCAUACCAGCGCCCAACUGACGCUCAUGCACGAAAGCGUGGGUAUCG
rnacentral:rRNA from 1 species